rnacentral:tRNA from 1 species
GCGAGAGUGGCGGAACUAGGCAGACGCGCUAGAUUUAGGAUCUAGUGCCUUAGGGCGUGGGGGUUCGAUUCCCUUCUCUCGCACCA